rnacentral:rRNA from 1 species
UACGGAAGGCAGCAGUGGGGAAUAUUGCACAAUGGGCGCAAGCCUGAUGCAGCCAUGCCGCGUGUAUGAAGAAGGCCUUCGGGUUGUAAAGUACUUUCAGCGGGGAGGAAGGCGGUGAAGUUAAUAGCUUCACCGAUUGACGUUACCCGCAGAAGAAGCACCGGCUAACUCCGUGCCAGCAGCCGCGGUAAUACGGAGGGUGCAAGCGUUAAUCGGAAUUACUGGGCGUAAAGCGCACGCAGGCGGUCUGUCAAGUCGGAUGUGAAAUCCCCGGGCUUAACCUGGGAACUGCAUUCGAAACUGGCAGGCUAGAGUCUUGUAGAGGGGGUAGAAUUCCAGGUGUAGCGGUGAAAUGCGUAGAGAUCUGGAGGAAUACCGGUGGCGAAGGCGGCCCCUGGACAAAGCUGACGCUCAGGGUGCGAAAGCGUGGGGAGCGAAACAGGGAUUAGGAU